AAAUCAUAUCACUAUUCUUAUCAGUUUAAUAUCUGAUGUGUCCUCUAUUUGGGCAUAAUAUAUAAAAUAAAUUUUUGGAGAAGGGAGAUACAAUAGGAGCUUGUUUCAUCCACUCUAUGCAUUAACCUGGUAUUGCAGUACCUCCAGGAAUGGUGCAACUUCC
rfam:Pongo abelii chromosome 2b.